rnacentral:rRNA from 1 species
AGUGAACGCUGGCGGUAGGCCUAACACAUGCAAGUCGAACGGCAGCACAGAGGAGCUUGCUCCUUGGGUGGCGAGUGGCGGACGGGUGAGGAAUACAUCGGAAUCUACUCUGUCGUGGGGGAUAACGUAGGGAAACUUACGCUAAUACCGCAUACGACCUACGGGUGAAAGCAGGGGAUCUUCGGACCUUGCGCGAUUGAAUGAGCCGAUGUCGGAUUAGCUAGUUGGCGGGGUAAAGGCCCACCAAGGCGACGAUCCGUAGCUGGUCUGAGAGGAUGAUCAGCCACACUGGAACUGAGACACGGUCCAGACUCCUACGGGAGGCAGCAGUGGGGAAUAUUGGACAAUGGGCGCAAGCCUGAUCCAGCCAUACCGCGUGGGUGAAGAAGGCCUUCGGGUUGUAAAGCCCUUUUGUUGGGAAAGAAAUCCAGCCGGCUAAUACCUGGUUGGGAUGACGGUACCCAAAGAAUAAGCACCGGCUAACUUCGUGCCAGCAGCCGCGGUAAUACGAAGGGUGCAAGCGUUACUCGGAAUUACUGGGCGUAAAGCGUGCGUAGGUGGUCGUUUAAGUCCGUUGUGAAAGCCCUGGGCUCAACCUGGGAACUGCAGUGGAUACUGGGCGACUAGAGUGUGGUAGAGGGUAGCGGAAUUCCUGGUGUAGCAGUGAAAUGCGUAGAGAUCAGGAGGAACAUCCAUGGCGAAGGCAGCUACCUGGACCAACACUGACACUGAGGCACGAAAGCGUGGGGAGCAAACAGG